rnacentral:tRNA from 1 species
GAGGGUAUAGCUUAGUGGUAGAGCGCAUGCUUAGCGUGCACGAGGUCCUGGGUUCAAUCUCCAGUACCUCCA